CCCCCCCCCCCCCUCUAACGUCAAUACAUAGGGUCUGUGUUUUUUUUAUUUUUAAAAUAAAUCUUUUUAGGGGUCAUUUGGAAAGGAUACAAGCUCAUCGAAGGAGUUCCUCAGGCUUUACAAUCUCUGCGAUCUAUGGUAAUUUCUCAACUCUAAUCGCACUUUCAUCGAUAUUGCAGUCAUUUGGUCCUCAGGUUUAGUUUGUUUAUCUUUAUGGUUUUAUUCAUUUUUAUAAUUUUAUUCAUUUUUAUGGUCCUUGGAAACAAUCAAACUACUGAAAGAAGGAGCAUAGAAGAUUAACCACAAGACGGUAUACCACAAGUAUACCAGGUUAUCUCUAUUAAAGAGUGCAAAGUUUCUCUCUUAGCUGAGCUAUUUGUUUCUGUUGGCAUGGAAAUGCAUUCCAUUUUAGAACCUUCAGCUUAUACUUGGUGAAAGUUUUUAAUUGCUUUCGGGACUACUGCAGACAUUUCUGGUUAAUUCGAGAAGCAACUUAUUAUUCUUUCUUGAAGAUGGUUUAAAGUUAUCUUUCACUGAUAAAAGGCGCCUUGCAAAAGUUUGCUUACUUCAAGAUGUAUUGUCCAUUGCCCCAAUAUGUCCAUCUUUCCUAUAGAUUCUUACAUCUUUAGCGUCAUUAUAACUCUUCACCAAUUUGUUGGUGCCGCCAACUUCUGUACCUCCAAUAGCCGAGCUUGGUCUGGAUGCAUUGUUAGAGCCUAUGAAGGUGGAGGAAUUUGUAGAUUCUUUGAGCAAAAAGAAAAUUGCAAUUAAAGCUCUACUACUCGAUCAGGUUGGAUAUAAUUUUUUUCCACAGAAUCUCUCAUAUGUAAGUGCAAGUAAUUGUUGAAUUAGCAAUACUAGAACCACAAUGGUUAAUGAUACAUUAGGUGGGUGUGCUGCAUUUUGUAUCUCCUUUGUGUGCUGCUACUCACCCAUUCACAAGAAAAUCCAUUUAUAUGCGAUGGUGAUACCUAGGUGCUUUUUUUGUAAAAUUUAUCUUGCAGAACUCCUUCAAACCCUC